rnacentral:rRNA from 1 species
UGCGCAGGCGGGCUUGUAAGUCAGUGGUGAAGUACUGCCGCUUAACGGUAGAACUGCCAUUGAUACUGCGAGUCUUGAAUAUGGUUGAGGUAGGCGGAAUGUGUUGUGUAGCGGUGAAAUGCAUAGAUAUGACACAGAACGCCAAUUGCGAAGGCAGCUUACUAAGCCAUUAUUGACGCUGAGGCACGAAAGCGUGGGGAGCGAACAGGAUUAGAUACCCUGGUAGUCC